GCGGCAGUAGUCUAAUGGCAGGAUAUUGGCCUUCCAAGCCAAAGAUACGGGUUCAAAUCCCGUCUGCCGCA
rnacentral:tRNA from 1 species